GCGGGCGCCCCUCCCCCAGCCUCGCUGCCUCCUUGCAGUUUGAUCUCAGACUGCCCUGCUAGCAAUCAGCGAGACUCCGUGGGUGUAGGACCCUCCAAGCCAGGUGCCGGAGAUAAUCUCGUGGUGCGCCGUUUUUUAAGCCCGUUGGAGAAGCGCAGUAUUCGGGUGGGAGUGACCCGAUUUUCCAGGUGCUGUCUGUCACCCCUUUCUUUGACUUGGAAAGGGAACUCCCUGACCCCUUGCGCUUCCCAAGUGAGGCAAUGCCUCGCCCUGCUUCGGCUCGCGCACAGUGCGCGCACCCACUGACCUGAGCCCACUCUCUGGCACUCCCUAGUGAGAUGAACCUGGUACCUCAGAUGGAAAUGCAGAAAUCACCUGUCUUCUGCCUCGCUCACACUGGGAGCUGUAGACCGGAGCUGUUCCUGUUCGGCCAUCUUGGCUCCUCCCGGAAGGUACAUUUUUAAAGCCCCUUUUCUGCACUACUCCUGGGGAAUGAAGCCUCUGAAAGUGCUUAUGCAUCCACAUAAAAUGGAGAACAGUAGCUUCCCUGGAAGAUGCCCUCCACUGGUGCCCAGUGCCUUUUGCAUGUAUAUCACCAGGCAAGACAAUAUAAACACCACAGUCUCCCACCUCAAAGAAGAAUGAAAAGAGGGAUUAUUUUAAUUCCUGCUGUCAUCCCUAAAAUUGGGGUCAUAUUUAUAGAGAAGAGAAAAAUCAAUAUAAGAAAACUAUGCUGUGGUUGGAUAUAACAAAGACUACCAGUCCAUGCCCAAGAGCUCCUGUUAGCCAGUCACAUUUUUUUUCCUGCAAGGAAGACUGGUUUAAGAGAGAUUCACCUCUCCCUUCCCACCCAGGACUGAACAGAGAGACAGGAAGGAAGGAAAAAGAGAUGUAACUAUGAAGAGGCAUAUGCUGUUGAGAGUCUCAAACUGUGACCUACCUUUGCCUCAUUCAGGCAAAUCUUUGAAACUUGGUUUCCUCAUGGUAAAUUGGAGAUAAUCCUGCCUACAUGAUUAAAUGAAUAACAUAUGAAAUAUGUGUUUCACAAGACCUCUAAAACAGGUUGAUUUUCUAUGUCUUAAAAGUAAGCCGAUAAGUAUAUGCAGUUGCUGGUAAGAGCAUUCUAGGCAGUGAGAAAUGGGUCAACAAAAUUAUAGAGGGAAAACAAGGUGUGCUCAGUGACCCCCAAAGUGGAACUAAAAUUUCGUGAAAGAAAAUAUUAAGAAAGAAGCAUAGAAUGGUAGGUAGAGCCAGGUCUCAGAAGGCUGUCGAUAUCAGGCUGUAGAGCUGAGCUUUAUGCUUGUUCUGUAAAGUAGGAUUAAGUAACAAAACCUCUGAUGUCACAGUAGGAAGUUUGCAGGGUCUCCACGAGUUCACUUUUUGCAAACACUCUUGUACAAAUUAGAAAAAAUUCACACCUUCCACACUUCUUCCAUUAGGCAGAA
rnacentral:lncRNA from 10 species